UACAGAGGGUGCGGGCGUUAAUCGGAAUUACUGGGCGUAAAGCGUGCGUAGACGGUAGCGUAAGUCAGAUGUGAAAGCCCCGGGCUCAACCUGGGAACUGCAUUUGAGACUGCUCUGCUCGGGUGCGGAAGAGGGAAGCGGAAUUUCCGGUGUAGCGGUGAAAUGCGUAGAUAUCGGAAGGAACACCAGUGGCGAAAGCGGCUUCCUGGUCCGACACCGACGUUCAGGCACGAAAGCGUGGGGAGCAAACAGG
rnacentral:rRNA from 1 species